UACAGAGGAUGCAAGCGUUAUCCGGAAUGAUUGGGCGUAAAGCGUCUGUAGGUGGCUUUUUAAGUCCGCCGUCAAAUCCCAGGGCUCAACCCUGGACAGGCGGUGGAAACUACCAAGCUGGAGUACGGUAGGGGCAGAGGGAAUUUCCGGUGGAGCGGUGAAAUGCGUAGAGAUGUGGAGGAACACCGAUGGCGAAGGCAGCCCCCUGGGAUAACACUGACGCUCACGCACGAAAGCGUGGGGAGCAAACAGG
rnacentral:rRNA from 1 species